GUUUACAUUUAUUCAGUGAAUGUAUACACUUUAGUUGCGGAAUUGUGUCCCUACAAAUAAAAUGGCAUGUGCUCAGUAGAAUAAUGGAUAACCGAAACAAAUCAAUGAGAAAGUGACCAUGCGGAUCUGAAUUCUGAAAUAUGAUUCAACAAGGAGUGUUAAACAAAGCGGUCCUAAGGCUAAGAUCAGUGGAACCCAAACAUUUCUGGAGGAGGCUAAAUUAAAUCACAAGAAAAACUAAGUUUAAAAUAAUUUACUGAAUAUUAAUCUUAUUUUAUACAAAUCAUGGUAAACGAUUUAUGUAAUUUUUCGAAUUAUAGUUCUAAUCAAACAGAUAUAAUGAAAAACUACAAGAGAAAGUAGUGUAUUUUUAAGAGUAGGGGAUUUUUCAUAAAUUGGAAAACUAAGAUAAUGGUAGGGGAGAGGAAAAUAAUAUAUAAAUCAAUUUAUUCUUAAAAACUCAUAUACAGUUUAAAUUAGACUAACCUUAUUGAAUUAUUACAAGAAAGAGACAUUCAAACAAUAAAAAUGAAAAUAUAUCAGGCGAUGUUUGUUAUAUUUAUAAUUUCUAUGUUCUCCACUGUAUACUCCAGAACUCUUAAAAAACGUGAAUUACAAGAAGUAGAAGACAAUGAAGCCUUACAUACAUCCCAUGGUAACUAUGGUGGAGGUAGUCAUGGACAUGCCACUUCAUACAACAAUUAUGUUUUGCACUCUUUCCACCCAACAAAAUACAAUGUACAUAAAGAUCAUUAAUUUCUAAACUUUCAAUUCUCUAAAUUUAUCAAUGAAAUUAUCAUAAAUACUUUUUUGUACGAUUUCUUUUUCUAACGAGUUGUUAAUUUACAGUAAAAUAAUUUUAUAAUAAUACUUACACAGUAAAAUUGAAUAAAUUUAGGAAAAUUAUGUUUUAUUUAAUGCUGUGAAUUAUUUUUUAAUAAUAAACUUAUGUACAGAUUAGAAUUUCAUAAUGUAUAUCUGGAAUUAAAAUUAAGUUAAACUGAAUAAAUGGACUGCAGUUUUAUUUUGUAACACAAAUUAAUUAUAAUAUUUUAUUAAUAAAUUUCUUACUUAAGAUACACUAUCAAUUAGUAUAAAAUUAAUUGAAAUAAGGAUAAUUUUAUAAAUUCUGUACUUAAAAAAAAAAAUGUCAGAAUAUAAACCCUUGACAAAAAAUUAUUUAUAGAAUUCAUGUUCUGAUUCAUCUUUUUUGAUAUUAUUCUUAUAUCCCUUCUCAAAAUCUUUUGGUAGUACAAUAUAACGAUUUUCUCGAACAGCAUG